rnacentral:rRNA from 1 species
AACGAACGCUGGCGGCAGGCUUAACACAUGCAAGUCGAACGCAUCGCAAGAUGAGUGGCAGACGGGUGAGUAACGCGUGGGAACAUACCCUUUUCUACGGAAUAGCUCUGGGAAACUAGAAUUAAUACCGUAUACGCCCUACGGGGGAAAGAUUUAUCGGGGAAGGAUUGGCCCGCGUUGGUUUAGCUAGUUGGUGGGGUAAAGGCCUACCAAGGCGACGAUCCAUAGAUGGUCUGAGAGGAUGAUCAGCCACAUUGGGACUGAGACACGGCCCAAACUCCUACGGGAGGCAGCAGUGGGGAAUAUUGGACAAUGGGCGCAAGCCUGAUCCAGCCAUGCCGCGUGAGUGAUGAAGGCCUUAGGGUUGUAAAGCUCUUUCACCGAUGAAGAUAAUGACGGUAGUCGGAGAAGAAGCCCCGGCUAACUUCGUGCCAGCCGCCGCCGUAAUAC